CGUGGUGUGCGCCGCCAGCAACGGGCACGGCGCCGCCAGGAUGCAGCUGCGCUUCCACCACCCAGCGGGGCUGGUCUGGGCCAAGGUGGGCCCGGUGGGCGCGGUCGUCGCCUUCGCCGUCGUCAUCGCGCUCGUCUGCUACCUGAGCCAGAGCCGCCGCAAGAAGGCGUCAGGAAGCCCCGAGGUGACCCCGGUGACCCCGGCGGGGGGGCGGGACCCGGAGCCACGCCCACUGCAGGUGAGGGGGC